UAGGAAUAUACCUUAAAGAGGGGGAUAACUUGGGGAAACUCAAGCUAAUACCGCAUAAGCUCUGAGGAGUGAAGCUAGGGACCUUCGGGCCUGGCGCUUUGAGAUUAGCCUGCGUACGAUUAGCUAGUUGGUAGGGUAAAGGCCUACCAAGGCGACGAUCGUUAGCUGGUCUGAGAGGAUGAUCAGCCACACUGGAACUAAGACACGGUCCAGACUCCUACGGGAGGCAG
rnacentral:rRNA from 1 species